UUUUUAUAUUGAAACUACUAAGUAAAUGCACUUUUUACAAUUAAAUCAAGAGACUUUAAUUGCAUUUAUGUAAAAGUUCAAAGUUUUGGGAUUACAUUACCAUGUUGUGUUGUAUUUAAAUGGUAAAGUUAUUUAAAACGCACUGAUUGUCCCAAAGUGCUUGCCGUACUUUCUCAGCACAUGCGCUGUAAGACCGGGGACAUGUGUCAUUUGAAUCCUGUGACUGUGAGAUGACAGAACCGCAUUUUUUCCCUUUCCUGUGCCAUCCUGCGAUGUUAUGGUUUUGAAUGUGGAGAUGCAAACAGUGUACUGAGACUCAAUCUACAAGGUAAACGCAGAAUUCACCCGCAUCACCACCGUUCCGCUGCUGCCUACCUUCAUGUCUCAACUGGAUCGCCAUUCGUCUCAGUUGAUGAAGGUUUUCAAAAAGAAGGGGGGAACAGCAGGAUGCAAUUUGGGCCUGAUCAUGGCAGCCAUGGACAAGGAUCCCACAGUUGAAACACGACGGGACUGUGUCCUUAAAGCGCUCUGCGUCUACUUGAAUGAAAGUUCCGAGAGCUUCAUAAAGGAAUAUUUGGAUGUUGAACUUGCAACAACCCAAAUGGAGCCAAUGGUAUUGGGACUCUAUCUCGUGAAACACGAAGGAGCAGAACCCGGGCGUCAUCAUCGAGGGUGUUGGAGUGCUGCGAGAGCUGAAAUACUUGGCAAAUGGAUGGGCAGUAUUGCUUGGACUGAUUUACAGCCUCAAUCUGAGCUACCCCAAGGACCUGAAACAUACAUUUGAAUUCAUUCAAAAAGUAUUGAUGGGGUUGGAUGGCAACAGACUGUCAACCAAGGUGCAGGUUCUGAAAAACAGAUUACAAGAGUAAUCCCAAGGACAAAAUACUGUGACAGAGAUAACGUCCAGUUCAUUUCCAUCUCGGUACA